rnacentral:rRNA from 1 species
GUGAGUCAUUGCAGUAAUGCAAGGCAGACGGCUCAGUAACACGUAGUCAACCUACCCUAUAGACGGGGAUAACCUCAGGAAACUGAGGAUAAACCCCGAUAGAUCAUUAUGCCUGGAACGGUUUAUGGUCCAAAUGAUUCGUCGCUAUAGGAUGGGACUGCGGCCUAUCAGCUUGUUGGUGAGGUAAUGGCCCACCAAGACUAUUACAGGUACGGGCUCUGAGAGGAGUAGCCCGGAGAUGGGUACUGAGACACGGACCCAGGCCCUAUGGGGCGCAGCAGGCGAGAAAACUUUGCAAUGUGCGAAAGCACGACAAGGUUAAUCCGAGUGAUUCCUGCUAAAGGAAUCUUUUGUUAGUCAUAAUACCACUAACGAAUAAGGGGUGGGCAAGUUCUGGUGUCAGCCGCCGCGGUAAAACCAGCACCUCAAGUGGUCAGGA